rnacentral:rRNA from 1 species
UGGGGAAUAUUGGACAAUGGGCGAAAGCCUGAUCCAGCAAUGCCGCGUGUGUGAAGAAGGUCUUCGGAUUGUAAAGCACUUUCGACGGGGACGAUGAUGACGGUACCCGUAGAAGAAGCCCCCGGCUAACUACGUGUCAG